rnacentral:tRNA from 1 species
GAGAGUGUAGCUCAAGAGGUAGAGUGCAUGCUUAGCAUGCAUGAGGUCCUGGGUUCAAUCCCUGGCACCUCCU